CGCAAAACUCAGGAACCCGGAAGACGAAUUAAUUUUAAUACAUGUCGUUUUAAUAAGAUAGCUAGCUAUUGUUUGUUUUGAAUAUGCUCAAAUGUUUAACGUGACGAAAACAACCAUGAAAAGAAUUUGCCAAUUUUCUUUCAACAUCCUCCUGCGGUGUCGAGGCAGCGUCACAUCCAGCCUGGAGGUGGAUUCAGGUGUUCUCAGCACCGCCUCAAGCCUGCAGUGUUGCUCACUUUCCUGGUGAAAUAACACAGAACCAAAGCGUUUGGACCUGGACUUGCAGCUGCACACUCUCUCUGAUGCAGAAUGGCUUGCCGAGCAGCCCGGAACUCGAGAGAAAAGUUGCUUAUGGUUUUACAGAAGUCCUCAGCUCUGGUUUCUCGUGCCAUCGUUUUGGAGUAGCCCAGGAACAAGAGGAAUGAAUGAAACCUGGAAAUAUUGGUUCUGGUUAAUAAGCAAUCAUCCCUGCAGUACCUCGAACUAACACUACAGUGACCCACCUGUUGACAACCCUCCUGUGGACUGCUCUCAGAACCUUCAUCCUGUCAUCAAUCUCCCUCAGGAUAUGUGGAAGCCUGUGACAGAGCACACUGUCUGGUCCCAAGCUAUCACCACCUCCUUUUAAUAGUCGCCUCUUCUCCCCCUUUGCUGGGUUGCAUUUCUUCGCUUUAUCCAGCAUCUUCACCUGCUCCCAUGAUGCCUUGCAUAGGUCCCCGAGGUGGUCUAGGUUGGCUUGAACCAGGGAGUAGUCACACUGUGAAACAUGGUGAAGGAUUUUCUUAGGAUUUAGUGAAUCUUCAAAAACACAAACAAUUGCGCACCACCUUUCCAGCUUUGCUAACUGCUGUCAGGUCCGAGUACAGAUCCGAAGACUGUGGGUAGAGUUGCAGCAGGAGCACGCAGACAUGAUGCAGCAGAGGCUGGCGGGAAUGUGUGUCCCUCACCUGGGAGAGCUUGCCCAGGUAACUCAACUCAAAACCACGAGCCUGAGGUGCAGAAGUCGAUGCAUGACUCACACAGAAUGGACCGCAUGAUGCGUUUCUCCCUUCUCACCUUACAUCCGUUGAGGAAGUUACCAAUGGCUAACACCGUUGCUAGAAUGUGUCUGAAGGUCUCGCUAGCUACCAGCUGCUCCAUGGCGAGCUUCAGAUGGAAGAGUGGUUCAGCGAUCUCCUAACAAGAGGUGAGAACUGUGAGCAGAGGGUAAUGAUUCAAAAGAGUUUUCAUCACUCACUUGCUCCAAAGAGUCAUAAUCCAACACGAAAGCCCAUAGCUGAAGCCUGGAGAUCAGAUGAGGGAUCUCCCCUAAAGCUUGAAGGCAGAGCUCGGCUGGGGCUAGAGGACAGUUUGGGUUUUGUCUUUUAGCCUCCUUGAUCAGACAGAGUUCUUCCUCGGUUGGGAUGAGAGUUUGAAGCCGCUGCGGUGCACAAGAAAAACUUCAGUAAAACAUUACAUGUUAAUGGCCAGGACUGUACCUGAAUAUCCUCUCGGUCCAGCACACUGCUGUCCAUGCUGUAUAUAGCAGGAGGGAGGAGAUGUGGGGGUGGCAGGCGGCUCAGCGUGAUGGUAAUGUUGUUACUCCUCUUCAUCCCCAGCACUGACACUGUCGCUUGUUUCUGUGUUAAAAGACAAGACCAUGAGACAUCACUUCAUGAUGGUGGACCAACCCUGACGUCUCUUACCCGCUGUCCACAAGCGACACUCAAGCAGGUGCUCUUGCUUUUGCAUUCAAAGAGUAACUCCAGCCAUUGUGUAUCCAACUGGACUGACUCCAGCCCGGCCCAAAUGGUUUGAGUCCCAAAACGAGUCCUCCUAGGAAGCGGGGUCAAACUCUGCAGGGCCCUCCAGUGAAGCUUCAGGGUGGCACAUUUAUUGGCAGCACCCUUUGGGGAAGCCAAGAAGAGUUUGACAUCAAGAGGAGGAGGAGGAGGUGGUGGAGGUGCUAAGACACCACAAAACCUUUCAUCUGUCGAGUUGGUUUCUUCUUCUUCGGUGCUGUCCACUUCUUCUUCAUCCCAGAGGUCCGAGAAGUCUAAAGUGUUAAGGCAGAGGUGUGGUAGAGUGGUAGGCGUGAGGGACCAAUCCCAUUUUGGAGGACUGUCCUUGGUUUGGUCUGAAUCUUUCAUGGUCACUUCAACAUAUUGAGGUGUUCUUCUGUCUGGAUGCACCCUUCAGGAACCUCGGUCUGGUCUUCUGUUUCUUUCUUAGUCCUCAAAUGUUCAACAUCGCCUUAAUGAUUUUGCAGCCAUCGUUUUAGCUCCUUCUCAGAGAGAGAGAGAGAGAGACGCCGUCCGUUUUGAUAUAUUUGAGUUGCGCCCUUUCCCUUAAUUUUCUUAUCAGCCCUUCAUCUCCUGUUUAUAUUGUUGCUUGUAUAUACAACUCUCCACUAUCUGAUUUGCAUCUGUUUGCCUCCCAUAAGUUUUUUUUUUUUUUAAUUCAACCUUGGAUCACAUUCCUGGACAUCCGCACAUCUGCAGAUCAAUUCAUGUUGACAAAAUCAGAACACAUGAAGCCCCAAGAAGCUGAAACCGUGUAUGUCCAGCUUAGCAAAAAAACACACAUUACGACUAUGUUCUGAGGUCAACUCGUUCACGGUCGACUUGCAGCCAUAAUGAGGUCCCCUCCCUCCGUCAUGCAGCCUCCCUUAAUCACUCUUUAUCAUUUUUGGUGGCUCCAGGGACAUUUAGGACAAAAUGGGGGUGCUUGACCUAUUUAACCAAACAAACUAUACACAGAUUUGGCGAAUUUUGGGGUAGGCAGCAUGAUGAAAUAGUGGUUAGUACGUAUGUCUGCAUCACUGUA